GAUGAACGCUGGCGGCGUGCCUAACACAUGCAAGUCGAACGGCGACGCCGGAGAUUGUUCUGCUUGAUCAGUGCCAAACGCGUGAGGAACACGUGAGCAACCUGCCCCUCUUUUUCGGGUAUGCGCUGGAAACGGCGCCUAAUAUUAUACACGAUCUGCGCAGCCGGUUUAAGCAGCUGGAAAUCAUUUCGGUCAGGGCUGCGCUCGCGGCUUACCCGCUUGUUAGUGAGGUAAUGGCUCACCAAGGCAUCGACGGGUAGCCGGCCUGAGAGGGUGGCCGGCCACACUGGGACUGAGGCACGGCGCAGACGCCAACGGGAGGCAGCAGUGGGGAAUAUUGCACAAUGGGCGAAAGCCUGAUGCAGCAACGCCGCGUGAGGGACGACGGCCUUCGGGUUGUAAACCUCUUUUGGCAGGGAAGAAGCGAAAGUGACGGUACCUGCAGAAAAAGCGCCGGCUAACUACGUG
rnacentral:rRNA from 1 species